rnacentral:rRNA from 1 species
UACGUAGGGGGCAAGCGUUGUCCGGAUUUAUUGGGCGUAAAGAGCGUGUAGGCGGCCGUACAGGUCAGCUGUGAAAACUCGAGGCUCAACCUCGAGACGUCGGUUGAAACCGUACGGCUAGAGUCCGGAAGAGGAGAGUGGAAUUCCCGGUGUAGCGGUGAAAUGCGCAGAUAUCGGGAAGAACACCCGUGGCGAAGGCGGCUCUCUGGGACGGUACUGACGCUGAGACGCGAAAGCGUGGGUAGCAAACAGG